CCUACGGGCGGCAGCAGUGAGGAAUAUUGCUCAAUGGGCGCGAGCCUGAACCAGCCAAGUAGCGUGAAGGAUGACUGCCCUACGGGUUGUAAACUUCUUUUAUAAAGGAAUAAAGUGAGGCAUGUGUGCCUCUUUGUAUGUACUUUAUGAAUAAGGAUCGGCUAACUCCGGGCCAGCAGCCGCGGUAAUACGGAGGAUCCGAGCGUUAUCCGGAUUUAUUGGGUUUAAAGGGAGCGUAGAUGGGUUGUUAAGUCAGUUGUGAAAGUUUGCGGCUCAACCGUAAAAUUGCAAUUGAUACUGGCAGUCUUGAGUACAGUAGAGGUAGGCGGAAUUCGUGGUGUAGCGGUGAAAUGCGUAGAUAUCACGAAGAACACCGAUGGCGAAGGCAGCUUACUGGACUGCCACUGACGUUGAGGCGCGAAAGUGUGGGUAUCAAACAGGAUUAGAUACCCGGGUAGUC
rnacentral:rRNA from 1 species